UUUUAAGAAAUAAUGUUUCUUCUCUUUCUGAGAGCACUGAGAAACCUACUAUGAAACAAUCAUGUUUCUCAUUUUGGAUAGCAUGAUUUGUGGAUGUAAAGUCUGGAACUGCCAUAGCUAUUUUGUCAACAUAAGGGACACACUGGCUUGAGGAUAAAGCUAAUAACAUGGAAGGCAGGACAGAGAAUUAGAAAGAAACUGGUUCGCUGAUGACAUCAUUGAACCAUGAAGCUUACCUUGCCUCUGGACUUUUCAGUCAUGUCAGCCAAUGAGCCCCUCCCCCCUUUAUUACUUAAGACAGUUUGAUUUUUGGUUAUUUGCAGUUUGAGUCCUAACUGGUGACUCCUGAGUCAUUAGCAGAUAACUAGUAUGUAAGCCCAGGUAGAAAAUGUAGAGAGGAAAGACUGAAUCCUGGGGCAUUCAAACCUUAGAUAUUGGGCCAAGAAGAGGAACAUAAAAGAGAGAGGAGAAACUGACAGAAGCUUGAAAACCACGAGCUUGUCCAUGUUUGGAUGGAACCAUUCAGAGAAGAAUACAUAGAGGCUGCAGGAAAGAGGAAAAAUGGCAAAAGCAAUUCCUUGUACAGGUGAAGGCGCUGGGUGCCAGAGAGUGAGGGGAGAUGCUUCACAGGGGCAGCAACAUUCCUUUUCUUGUCAAAGGGGAGAGCACCGUACAUAAGCACAGAUAAAAGCAGAUGUGUGGAUUUGUGAUCAGAAGAUGGAGAAGCCCCUGUUCGAUUUUCUGAGCUGAGUAUAACCUCUCUAGCUGCAUUAUUUCCGAAGAGCCAGCACAUCGAUCACAUCCACCUCCAGAUUUCUACUUCUGAUGACACAUGGCUGAGAACAAGGACGAGUUUCAUUCAGGCAAAGUCAAAUCCAGGCUCCCCGAAACCCAGAGUGAUUUUCAAGUCCUGUGUUCCUAAUGUGGAGUUUUCAAACCAUAUUCCACACAGAACCAGUAUUACCACAUGUUCCCUGUAGGGGGAUUAUAUAUCUUCUUCCUACUGAUAUCACGUGACUUGCUUCAGCCAAUGAAAUGGCACAGGAGUGCCGUGUGCCACUCACAGAAAAAGCCCAAGACCUUCAUGAGGUUCUGCAGUUUUCCUUUUAUCUCCUCCAUGAGACCUACAAUAGCCCGAGUGGGAGUUGCUCUUUUAGCCUUGAUCCAAGAGUAAAGAUGUUGAAAAGAGCUACAGCCACCAAGCAGCUGUCAUGUAAAGUGAGUAAGAAAUAAAGCACGCUGUUGCAAACCACUGAAUUUUGUUACUGCAGCAUUCCAACCCAUCCCUCCUGAUGCAUUCCCAGCAUCAAAAGGUUUAUUGAAGAAAUUCUGGAAAUGAUGCAUAUGCUAUCCCACUCAAAAUAAUGCACAUUGGCAUUUUAAAGGAUGUUAAAAAAAAAUCCUUCAGGAAAUAAACCGGUUUACUACUGUGA